AAUCAAGAACCUUUAGGUGACACUCUAGAGAUGAACUCUUCUCCAGGCUUAGUGACUGUGGUGCUCUUACUGCUUGGACAAACACAUGGAGACUCUGUGACCCAGCAGGAAGGCCAAGUGACACUCUCAGCAGGGAACUCCCUGACUGUGAAUUGCACUUACUCAACCAUACUCAACCCCACUCUCUUCUGGUAUGUCCAGUAUCCUGGCGAAGGUCUGCAGCUCCUACUAAAAGCCAAGACAGCCAACAAGAAGGGAACAAACAAAGGUUUUGAAGCCACUUACCAGAAAGACCCCAAUUCCUUCCACUUGGAGAAAGCCUCAGUGCAAGAGUCAGACUCGGCUGUGUACUACUGUGCCCUGGAUGACACAGUGAUGGAAACUGCAGGGGUAGCUGAGCACAAACUGAGCAGCAAAAGGGGCCUGACUGCUGAGUGUCUCUGA